UCGGUUUGGUCUAGUUCGACUUAAGUUUGUCAGGUCUUAGCCGUUGACCAGGCCAGGUCGGCCUUGACUUUUUGAUUGCAAGUCAAGCCAGGCCGGAUUUGGAACAAAAAAAUAUAAGACCGAGCCAGGCCUCAUUAGGCCCAAGUGCUCUUUACUUCAAAAAAUUUAAACUCAACUUCUCCUUUAUUAAAGAAAGGUGGGACAAAAAACUUUUACUAGACUAUGUGGAACUAUGCCCAAACUUAGCCAAACCUCCAUUAAUUAGAGAAAAACAGGGACAAAAGCUUGUAUUUUAGACUAUGUGGGAGUGGGACUAUACCCAAACUUAGCCAAACCUCUAUUUAAUAGAGAAAAGCACGGACAAAAACUUGUAUUUUAG
rnacentral:lncRNA from 1 species